rnacentral:rRNA from 1 species
UACGUAGGGUGCGAGCGUUGUCCGGAAUUAUUGGGCGUAAAGAGCUCGUAGGCGGUCUGUCGCGUCGAUCGUGAAAACUUGGGGCUUAACCCUGAGCUUGCGGUCGAUACGGGCAUGACUGGAGUUCGGCAGGGGAGACUGGAAUUCCUGGUGUAGCGGUGAAAUGCGCAGAUAUCGGGAGGAACACCAAUGGCGAAGGCAGCUCGCUGGGACGUUACUGACGCUGAGACGCGAAAGCGUGGGGAGCAAACAGG